rnacentral:lncRNA from 1 species
AGGUCGACGUGAAUGCCUUGCAUUACGAAGCGUUCGAAGUAUCUGAGAGGCAAUCCUUCAACGGUUGAUCGGUUCUUGUCAUCUUCGCCUUUCUCCAGGUAUCUCUUCACCGACUCCAAAUCCAUUUCUUCUUUUUUCUCCUGCUCUUUCAGUCUCGCAAUUCACCAGCAUAUGCGAAAAUAAUAAUAGUUUAAUUAACGAAAGAGCUUUCACAUUUCACCUAAACUUUAACCAAUGUGUUGAAUUUGGAUUACUUAAGAAAAAUAUUAAAUUCUUUUUUUAAUAAAUCAAAUUUAUUUUUUAAAAAUUAUUUCUCUGUACAAAAAAUUCUUCAACUUACGAUCUCCGCUUUCUAGAUUUUUUUCUCCUAAUUUUAUUGUUUCCUCUGUUUUUUCUUAUGUGUUUUUUUUUUCUCAAAUCUCCGACAUUUUAGAACAUAUUCUGAAUAAUUAUUCAAAUUUAUCUGUGUCCUUUUUAAUUGGGAUUAUUUGAUUUGAUUUGAUUUGUUGAUUAUUGAUUUUACUUAGUAAAAUGCUUCACAUUUGGAGUAGAGUUUGGUAAGUUUCCAAAAGAUUAACAAAACUUUAUUGAUUAUGCUAACAAAGCUCUGCAUGUGCUAAUAAAGUCAUCUCUCUCACUUAUGAUUUGCCAAAAGUAUUGAUUAGUAUUAAUCACAAGUAUAAUCAGUUGUUCUUGAUCUGAGCUGAUUUCUGAAGCAAGAAAAUCUUCUUCAAAACCUUAAUCAACAAAACCGCGCUUUGUUUCUUAGGCUGAUACACUCUGUCAGGUUUAGACAUUGUUAAAGCCUGCACAGAGCAAAGUUGCAGAUCCUGAGUAUAUCCAGAUGAUUGUUUAUUCUUGCUGGAGGAAGAAACCCUUUGAAGUUCUUCGUUGAAGUCCUCCCACAACAUAUCCAUCUUCUCCUCCUCAUUGGCAUCUUCUCCCUCGUCCUCAGGAUAAACUAUGGAAGAAACACGCCAUAAGGAAGGUGAAAUUGGAAUGCGAGGAAGAGUGUUGGUGAUCUUAGGGAAGCUGAAUUCAUCUGCUGAUACCAUAGCUUUGGUUACAAAUGAAACGAGUUGGAUAUAUGAAAGAAAGAGUUGAAAAAUUGGAUAGAUUUUUCCACAAAGAGUUUGAAUACUUG